rnacentral:rRNA from 1 species
UACGUAGGGGGCGAGCGUUGUCCGGAGUUACUGGGCGUAAAGCGCACGCAGGCGGUCUGCUAAGUUUGGAGUGACAGUUGGUGCUUAACUGCCAAAGUGCUUCGAAAACUGACAGACUUGAGGGCUUCAGAGGGACACGGAAUUCCGGGGUGGAGUGGUGAAAUGCGUAGAGAUCCGGAGGAACACCAAAGGCGAAGGCAGUGUCCUGGGGGAGUACCUGACGCUCAGGGUGCCGGAAAAGCCCAGGGGGAGGCGAAACGGGGAUUUAGAAAACCCCGGGG